rnacentral:rRNA from 1 species
CCUACGGGUGGCAGCAGUGAGGAAUAUUGGUCAAUGGGCGGAAGCCUGAACCAGCAAAGUCGCGUGCGGGAUUAAGGCCCUGCGGGUCGUAAACCUCUUUUGCCGGGGAGAAGCGGUCCGGACGUGUACGGGCCGGGAGAGUACCCGGAGAAAAAGCAUCGGCUAACUCCGUGCCAGCAGCCGCGGUAAUACGGAGGAUGAGAGCGUUAUCCGGAUUUAUUGGGUUUAAGGGUAGCGUAGACGGCGCGGCAAGUCUGAAGUGAAAGGCAGGGGCUUAACCCCUGAACUGCUUUGGAAACUGCCAGGCUAGAGUGCUGUGGAGGUAAGUGGAAUUCCUAGUGUAGCGGUGAAAUGCGUAGAGAUUAGGAGGAACACCAGUGGCGAAGGCGGCUUACUGAACAGUAACUGACGUUGAGGCUCGAAAGCGUGGGGAGCAAACAGGAUUAGAUACCCGAGUAGUC